GUUGAAAGUAGCUAAGUGGAAAAGCGCCCCGUCAUCAGGCGGACAAUGCGUGGGUUCGAUUCCCACCUCUCAUA
rnacentral:tRNA from 1 species